UACGUAGGCAGCAAGCGUUGUUCGGAGUUACUGGGCGUAAAGGGUGCGCAGGCGGUUCUUUUAGUAUGGUGUGAAAUCUCCCGGCUUAACUGGGAGGGUGCGCUAUAAACUGCGGGACUAGAGUGUGGGAGAGGAAAGUGGAAUUCCUGGUGUAGCGGUGAAAUGCGUAGAUAUCAGGAGGAACACCGGUGGUGUAAACGGCUUUCUGGACCAUAACUGACGCUGAGGCACGAAAGCGUGGGUAGCAAACAGG
rnacentral:rRNA from 1 species